GCAGUGGUGGUUCAGUGGUAGAACUCUCGCCUUCCAUGAAGGAGACGCAGGUUAAAUUUCCUGUCCAGUGCA
rnacentral:tRNA from 1 species